UUAAGGUCAGUGUGCCAUAGUUCAGUGAGAAGCACAGUGUCUUCAGAUGGUGCUGGACAAGCUUUUCUCCAUGAUGUGCUGUUAAAAGCAUAUAUCCAGAUAUCCAGAAAAAAAAAAAAAGUGGAAAAAAAGAAGCAGCUGACCAAUAACUUACCUAGAAAGCAUCCAGCCUGGAUCUCAGCUACGAAAAAUGAAUGGAAGUGUAUACCAGAAGAUGAAUGCAACCUUCAAAACACCCUGUUCAGCUUUGUAGAGGGCUCUGGGAGAGUGGUUCUGUGGAGUCUGGAAAUGCUUAAAAAUAGCUUUGCUUGGGACACCACACAAUCUGCUGACAUUUUGGAACUCCGGGAUAAAAACAGAACAUUUCCAACAGCAAAGGUCUCCUGAAGUUGUUGAAAGAAGAUUAGAACAGUGGUUCUUCUUGCACGUUCUUUUCUUAAGGUAUUUUUCUUCCUAUCUGAUUUCCAAAGAGGAGUCAGAUUUUCAUUUCAUGUUGUCCCACCCCUGUGGCAUUUUUGACAUUGGACAGAAAUGAGAAGCCUUGAGUUGAAAAGGUGUCAUCAAAACAAUGACUAGAUAUACUUGGAAGAAAGGUUUAUUAUUUGGCUUGCUGCACUGAAAGCUGCUAAUAAUCAAGCAAUUAUGACCAGACAUAAUUUUUUUCAGUGCUUAAAGCUGCCUCUUGGAUUUAAUAUCUGACUGAAAACAAAAGGUGGAAAAAUUUGAAGAGUUCAGAAAAGGCCAAGAGAUGUAUAAGUAUUUCCUCAGGGCAUCUUUUGCUACCUUGAAUUUAAGGCCAAAACUUUGGCUAUCACUGCCUCCUUAGAAAGCAUUCUUGGCUCCAAUGGUCUGAUACAUCUUUUCUCUCCUUGCUUCUCAAAUAAUCAAAUCAUAAAAGUAGUUUGGGAAAUACAUUUUGCAUCUGUAUCCCCUGUGAUCUUUGAAUGCUUCAGGAGUCAAAACUCCACAUGGAUUUGUCACAGCUGAGGGCUGUGUGUUUGACUCAAAAAACCCUUUGCACACAAAUUAGAGGGCAACCAGUGCAAAACAAUGUGGUUAUAAUGCAUUAACUAAGCAGGAAGCAUGGCGAUCAGCCUGUGCUGUGUCAGGAAACAAUUUGUCUGUGGAAAUGGCAUGGCAUGGUGCUGGGGAAGACAAUGCUGCAAGCAAUGUUCAGUAGGCUGGCUGCUCAAGAAGGUCCUACAGGGGCACUGUCAGUGAAUCAAUCGGCUUGAUUUAUCACUGUAUUAUAUUAAUUCUACUCCAGGGUGACUUCAUUCAAGUCAGUGAAUUUGUCCUAGGGUAAAGUUGGAGAAAAACAGUGCCUCAUCUCUCUUGCUUUUUGCAUGUAUUGCUUCCACAGAGCCACAAUGAUCCUUUCAGUUCUGUCCUCUUCAGGACCUGGCUAUGAGAAGGUGGGAGCUGGAGGCCUUUUAGGGUUGCUUGGAGGAGAUGGGUUAUAAUCUUGGUACUGGAAGAAGUUUCUGAACCCUAGAUUUGCCAGCUCAUCUUUAAAAAUAAUUUCUGAUGAAGUUACGUGAAUCUUACAUUGUGGUUCUUGGGAAGCAAGGCACUUGGAAAAUAGGAUUUACUGUUGCGAUGGAACACCAGAGGCUGUCACACCACUAAACUGAGAAUAAACAGAGAAGAAAGCCUGCA
ensembl:lncRNA